rnacentral:tRNA from 1 species
GGAAGCGUGGCCGAGCGGUUGAAGGCAGCAGUCUUGAAAACUGCCGAAGGGGUGACUCUUCCGUGGGUUCGAAUCCCACCGCUUCCGCCA